UACAGAGGGUGCAAGCGUUGUUCGGAAUUACUGGGCGUAAAGCGCGUGUAGGCUGCGAUGUAAGUCGGACGUGAAAGCCCUUGGCUUAACCAAGGAAGUGCAUCCGAUACUGUGUCGCUUGAGUACCGGAGGGGAUGGCGGAAUUCCCGGUGUAGAGGUGAAAUGCGUAGAUAUCGGGAGGAAUACCUAUGGCGAAAGCAGGCUACUGGACCAUCACUGACGCUGAUCUGCGAAAGCUAGGGGAGCAAACAGG
rnacentral:rRNA from 1 species